ACCGAUUUCAAAAAGAAAGGAGUUGUAUAGACAGAUCACUGUCCAUCAAAAUGUAAUGCCCAUCAGAGGCCAAGGGAGAGCAGUGGAUGCUAUAGCCAGCAGGCGUAUUUACAUAUAAAUGGUUUUGCAGAAACGUGACAAAUCAGCUGGUAGCGCAAGACUAACCCAGAAACAGUGAAAUUUGCUGUCAAAGCAUAUAAAAGGGUUUAUAUGCAUGUAAUCUAAGAUGCUUAAAACAACAUUUUAAAACAAGACAGAAUAUGUGUACUUCUAUUGAAGACAAAACACGUGAGCAAUUCUUGAGUGCCCACUCCAUACAUACAGAGAAAACUGAAAACGGAGCCGGCAUCAUCCCAGUAGGGCAAGGAAGGUAGCAGUUUUGAGUCUUCAAACACUACUGUAAAUAACAGCAAGCCUUGCUGCUGGGGAACAAGGAUUCAGUUUUGGUGAGGUAGGGAGUUCUAAAUAGAUGUGCUAUUUAUAGAAGAAGCCUGGAUGCCCCAAACUGCGUCAGUUCACUGCGGUGAGGAGCUGGCUCCAAUUAGCAUUUGACUUUUGCUUUGAGAAAAAUUGCUUUGCGGAACAAAACUAAUUCUUUUCUUUUUAAGAGGAUUCUGCUGCAUAGGUCGGAUGGAAUCUGCUAACCCCUCCCCACCGAAUCACACCAACAUCCAACCACCAGACGCAAGACUGUGUGAUUCCACUCAGUUGCCCAUUAGAAAAGGAAACACUCUUUUAAGGGAAUUUUCCUCCACUGGAGAACGGAAAGGUACCUCAUACUUAUGAAACAGAAUCUUUAUUCACAAAUCCAGAUCAACAAGGGCAGGAAAGAAAAGCAUUUAAAGAGAAGAUAUCCCAGGUUACAAGAGAACUAUCUGACUGAGAGGUGGUAAUUCACCCAGGCUGGUGCUUCAUAAGCAAGACUGGACAUGCAAGUAAGAAGAUGCACAGUAAAAUAGGGCAGAAAAAUAGAAAAGAUUUUUAACAGUGCAUUUUGUUGCUAUCUUCUAUCUGUAUCAUUUCAUCCUGGGCUAUGUAGAUUUGUCCUUCCAAAAGCAUAGGCGAUACAGGGGCCAGCCAACUAUGGAUCAUGGACCAAGUCCAGCCUACCACCUGUUUCCAUAAACUUUUAUUGGAACGCAGCCACAUCCACUCAUUUACAUAUUAUCUAUAGCUGUCUUUGUGUUACAAUGGCAGAGUUGAGUAGUUGUUUCAACCGAAUGGCACACAAAGCUGAAAAUAUUCACUAUCUGGCUCUUUACAGAAUAAGUUCGUCAACCCCAGGUCUUAUAUAGUACCUUCAGUAAACACAGAAAUUGAUACAAAAAAACUAUGAUUACUGUCAUUACAAUUUGGGGUAGGACUACCAUUAAGGAUAUAUUUAAUUGUGGUUUUUCAUAUUCCUUAAAUAAAAAUAUUUAUGAUAAAAAUUUUAUAGUGUAUUAUGGCUAACAGCUCUUGGUGAAAUAUUUUCCCACUAUGAUACCUCUGUAGAUAGAGAAAGAGAUAAAAAUUUCACCACCAAAAAGUAAAACAUCCAACCCCCUGCCACUGCUAUGAGGAAGUCCCAUUGAGCAUAAGACAUUUUAUGGCCUUUCUUUGCUGUGUAAACCUAAAUAGAUAUAAGAACCAUCAUGUCUGCCUAACUCCCUGCCUUUCUAUACCAAACACAACCCAGAUUCAUCCCUCUGGUGUGUGGCCACAACUGUUGGAAGCAGUCAGAAUGCCAGCCCUCACCUCCCUCAACAUCUUUCUUGCUACAUCUAAUCAGAGCCCAUAAUGUAAAAAAGGGGGGGGGGGGGAAGACUGGGAAGUAUGUGUGUUGGAGGAGGCAGAGAGAGUUAUAAAAAGUAGCAGGAUAGGACAAUGCCUCAACUGAAAAGCCCAUGGUCAUUGAGAGGGAGGAAGAGAGCCUUUGCAGAGGUGCAUACUGGGGAUUACAGUUUUUUUGUUUCACAUAUUAAAAAUGUAAGAGGACUGAGCAGUGGAGGUAGAAAAAGAUCCAAUCUUAGUACAAUAGAGACAUACUAAAUGGAAACCCUCAGACAAGGAGACAUAUUUCUUAGCAUCUGGCUAUAGAUCCAAGAAGGGGAGUUAGCCAGGGGCAGGACACUUACCCUUGCAGCUUUCGAGCAGUGGGUAUGGACAGAUUUCUCUUGAUCAAGGAUGAGUAAAUAGAAGGCAAGGAAGUUGGGAAAAACCCUGAAGAGCAAACAAAACUAAUAAUGUUCUGAAGAUUCAGAGAAAGAGCAGACUUCUGAAAACUACACCUAUAGGAUCUUAAAAAAAAAAAAGGACUUAAAAGCAAUUUUGCAA